rnacentral:pre_miRNA from 1 species
UAUGUACUCCCUUCGUUCUGAAUUACUUGUCUCAGAAAUGGAUGUAUCUAGACGUAUUUUAGUUCUAGAUACAUCCAUUUUCGAGACAAGUAAUUCCGAACGGAGGGAGUACAUG